AUCGUGCGGGAAGAGGAUGUUGUGAAGCCGGCGAACUUGCCGGGGCGAACAAAAACCCCCCUGCCAGGGGAAACUCAUGCCCGGAGCGUGCCAGGAGCGGCGGGGGCAUGGCAGGAGAAGAGACGGCGGCACGGGGGUGCCAAGCGGGCGAGUGCCUGGAUGAGCCCAAUGGAGAGCGCCGUGCCUCAGUUUCCCCACCUGCGAACAGCAGCGGUGCUCUGUUACCUGCAGAAACCAAUCAAAGCCCCGUGACAGGUAUUUGAAAAGGAGCUGAGCUCAAUCCUAUCAAACCUCCGCGGGUCCUGGGACAAGCCAGACUUUAAGGAGUCGGAGUCCGAGCGAGUUUCACAAGAAAACAAACAGAAAUGCUUC